UACGGAGGAUCCGAGCGUUAUCCGGAUUUAUUGGGUUUAAAGGGUGCGUAGGCGGGAGAUUAAGUCGGUGGUGAAAUUUUGCAGCUCAACUGUAAAAGUGCCUUCGAAACUGGUUUCCUUGAGUGUAGAUGAAGUAGGCGGAAUUUGUGGUGUAGCGGUGAAAUGCAUAGAUAUCACGAGGAACUCCGAUUGCGCAGGCAGCUUACUAAACUACUACUGACGCUCAGGCACGAAGGCGUGGGGAUCAAACAGGAUUAGAUACCCUCGUAGUCCCU
rnacentral:rRNA from 1 species